UCUCCCGUGAGGGAGCAGUCUCGUGUGACACUUGUAACACACAACGAGGGUUGCGUUCGUUUCCCCACUUAAGGGAACAGCUCAAGCCACGAACUGACGACGGCCAUGCAUCACCUGCCAUACACCCUCGAAGGCUUCCUAUCUUUCGAUAGGCGUGCAGUAUGGUUUCUAGCCUCGGUAAGGUUCUUCGCUUAGCGACGAAUUAAGCCACGCGCUCCACCGCUUGUGCGAGCCCCCGUCUAUUCCUUUGAGUUUUAAGCUUGCGCUCGUACUACCCAGGCGGUCCGCUUAAUGCGUUAGCUUCGUCUCAGAGAGGGUCGAUUCUCCCCAAAACCAGCGGACAGCGUUUAGGGCGUGGACUAC
rnacentral:misc_RNA from 1 species